CAACUGGAACGUGGAGGACGAGGUGGAGAGCGCUGUGAGGCCCCCCAGUGGUCAGGAUGCCUCCCUGCCAAACCAGUGUAAUGGUCUGAGUGAAGACUCCAGCUCUGAGACCAGCAGCUACUCGGAGAACAGCAGAACCACCACGUCUUCCUCAGUGGGCAGCGCCCCAGGUGACGGUGGCCUACCUGAGCCCUCUGGUCCUGAGGAAGGAGCUGGAGAGUCUGCUGGAGAACGAGGGCGAGGCGGUCCUGGCCCAGCCUCAGUUUCUUGAAAACCACUCCAUCAUCUUCUGGAACUUGGUGUGGUACUUCCAGCGCCUCGGUCUGCCCAGUAACCUGCUGCAGCUGGUCAGAGCCUCGCCACUGGUCAGCCAGUUCUCUCAGUUUGAGAACUCAGCUGUGAGGGUGAGGCUCCUCUGGGACACCCUGACCCCCGACACAGACCAGUGGCCCCC